AAAUAUGAUAUUAAACGGGAUCCACUUGUACCACUCACCUUGGAUUGGAAAAGAUUCAUCCUUGAAUCUUUUGUCGCUCAUCUAACAUCUUAUAGGGACAGUGAUUUAGUUGAUACGUAAAUGACAUAGAUAUUAUCGCAGAUAUCUUGCCUCUAGAAAUCUUGAAAAACUUGAGCAACUAAUAGACUUUUUUCAUUUCUAUCCCAUUUUAUCCCUAACAAAUCACCCAAAAAUUCAAGUCAUUGCGCUGCAAAAUUUUGGAAUUUCUAAAUGUUUCAAGAAGUGUAUUUGGUCCAAUUCAUAUUGUUGUCCCCAUGGAGGUUGCUCGCAAAUCCCAUAACCAAUGUUAGCCCCUCAAUUGCCAGAAC
rnacentral:lncRNA from 1 species